rnacentral:rRNA from 1 species
GUGUCAGCAGCCGCGGUAAGACGUAGGUGGCGAGCGUUGUCCGGAAUUACUGGGCGUAAAGGGCGUGUAGGCGGCCAUUUAAGUCAGGCGUGAAAGCCCUGGGCUUAACCUAGGGACUGCGUUUGAAACUGAGUGGCUUGAGGACAGGAGAGGAAAGCGGAAUUCCCAGUGUAGCGGUGAAAUGCGUAGAUAUUGGGAGGAACACCAGUGGCGAAGGCGGCUUUCUGGACUGUCCCUGACGCUGAGGCGCGAAAGCCAGGGGAGCGAACGGGAUUAGAUACCCCGGUAGUCCUGGCUGUAAACGAUGGGUACUAGGUGUGGGGGGUAUCGACCCCCUCCGUGCCGCAGUUAACACAAUAAGUACCCCGCCUGGGGAGUACGGCCGCAAGGUUGAAACUCAAAGGAAUUGACGGGG